CUUCUUAAGUAAAGAUAUGUCAAUUCUUGCAUGCUUUAUAUAAGUCACAUUAAUACCACAAUAUAUACUUUUUUUAAUUGAAUAUUCAUUUUAUAUCUUUUUAUUCAUUUAUCAUGUUUAUCAUUAAAAUUUGACACAAUCAUGACAAUUUGAAAAGAAUUAGGAAAUUCACUAUAAUUACAAUUUCAGGGGGCCAAAAAAUGGUCCUUACAUCUGGUCUUCUAUUCUGCAAAGCUUAACAAACAAACAAAAUAAAAUAAUAGUAUGAACCUAAAAACCAAACAAAAGAGCAUUCAAAAACACUUAAAAGAUACAUUCUUUCUAACACCAAUUCUUACUUAGUAAGGGCUUCAGUAUUUCAAUUAGUUUUACUAGCCAUGCUAAAGCAUGUACAGUGUGUACCAUUAUACAACAAUUAUGAUGAUAAUGCACACAAUUACAGUAUACUGUGGAUUCAAAAUGAUUCAUUAGAUACAUAUUUCCGUUAAUUUUGCAGGAACAGAUGAACCACAAACGAAUUUAAAUGCUUUUAAUGAAUUACAUAUUUUCUAUAGGCUUGCAUUUUGAUUUUGUUAAAACCCCAGAAUCGAUUAACCAUGAAAAUGCAAGUUUUUCUCAUGCAAUCCAAGAAAAUUGGUAGCCACGAAAUUAAAUGAAUCCACAGUUAAUAGAAAUGAUACAAAUAAGGAUCAGUAAGUACAGCAUGUAUUAUUUGAGUCCCAAAAAAUAGUCCUUCUAUCAUGCCAGAUAGGCAAGCACAACAGAUAUUUAUCAUUAGCAACUGCAAGAAUUAAAAUGACUUGAACAUGGGUUAAAAAAAAUUAUCAAGUAAAUGAUUUU
rnacentral:lncRNA from 1 species